GACAGAGGUCCCGAGCGUUAGGCGGAAUCACUGGGCUUAAAGCGUGUGUAGGCGGAUCGUUAAGUGCCUUGUGAAAUCCCAUGGCUUAACCAUGGAACUGCUUGGCAUACUGGCGGUCUUGAGCCACUUAGGGGCAACCGGAACAAAUGGUGGAGCGGUGAAAUGCGUAGAUACCAUUUGGAACGCCAAUGGUGAAAACAGGUUGCUGGGAGUGUGCUGACGCUGAGACACGAAAGCCAGGGGAGCGAACGGG
rnacentral:rRNA from 1 species